UUCUCGCUCAAAGAAUCGCAUUCAAAGCUCACAAACGGAAACAUCUUUUCGAAGGUCUUUCACCAGCAAUGGUCACUCGCGCUUUGGGAGAAAGUCCCCGGACAACCUUCCUUUGAGAAGGACUGCGGAAACGCGCCGCCAUAGAAGCACUUUGCGGCUUACUCCUAUUAUCAAUUCUCUCUCUUUCCUCCAUCCUUACACCGUCUGUACCGCCUGUCUACCGAAGCAGUGAACGAUGGUCGAACCAUGGAGACCAUACGGACGAUGAUAUGAGUCUGAGCUCCUUGUGUAAAACCUUCGGGAUCUGUGGAGGUGGAUUCGUGGGAGUUGUUGGGUCUGUUCUUGGGUAGAGAGGGAUGUCUUGGUAACUGGAAUCAUUUUCGUCGAGAUCGAUAGUUAUUGCGAUUGCUUCUUCUUUGGUUGAAGUAACUCGAUGGGGCUCAUUCUUGAUGCGAGA
rfam:Glarea lozoyensis ATCC 20868 chromosome Tnknown GLAREA13, whole genome shotgun sequence.